rnacentral:lncRNA from 1 species
GGCACGAACCCUUUUGUUUUCCAUCCACCCCUCAAAAAGUAGAGCUAACUUAAAAAUGAAAGCAGACCAGAGAACCUGCCCUUUAUGGGAGGGCCUUCUACUAAAUCCCUUCACAUCAUUAUCAUCAUGCUCAGGCUUCGGGAGCUGGUGUACCGUAUGGUAUUCAAUAGUGUCGAACAGUCUCCUGCACAUAACCAUGUCAACCGUCCAGGACGACCACCCAGGUCUAUCAGCCUAACCAACCAACCUGGCCGACCCCAUGGUUAGGUUAUUAAUGAUAAACGCCUCAUUAAAACCCCUAAUGGAGAUUAAGGUAUGAUUAGGCUGUCAUCUGGCCCACGAAAGGUAAAAGCCCAUUACAACCAGUAUAAAUAAGGGUCCCAGGUAUGAUUUCAAGACAGAUUGCACACGUUGCAUAUUAUGCAUACCACAUGCAUCACUUAUAAUAAUAACCGUUCAGUCACUUUAUUGACUUGAGUUUUGGAGUGCCUUUAACAGGUACCCACCCGCCCAGCUUGGAGAACGAGGAAGGAGAACGAACUUGGAGUGCGAGGAAGAAGCAGUCAAUCGUUCGACCCUCAACAGGAAAAGCGUCCCAUCC